ACUCAAAGGAAUUGACGGGGACCCGCACAAGCGGAGGAGCAUGUGGUUUAAUUCGAUGGUAAGCGAGGAACCUUACCUGGGCUUGAAAGACAGCUGCAAGCCACCCGAAAGGGAGGCCGCCUUCGAGGGUGCUGUCUAGGUGCUGCAUGGUUGCCGUCAGCUCGUGUCGUGAGAUGUACCGUUAAGUCGGAUAACGAGCGCAACCCCUGCUCCGUGUUGCAUAUCACGGAGGACCGCCUCGGAUAACGGGGAGGAAGGCGGGGAUGACGUCAAAUCAGCAUGGCUCUUACGUCCAGGGCUACACACGUGCUACAAUGAUAAUGACAAUGGGUCGCCAAACCGCAAGGUGGAGCUAAUCCCAACAAACAUUACCUCAGUUCGGAUUGGGGGCUGCAAUUCGCCCCCAUGAAGCCGGAUUCGCUAGUAAAUGCCUAUCAGCAUCGGGGCAUUGAAUACGUUCUCGGGUCUUGUACACACCGCCCGU
rnacentral:rRNA from 1 species